rnacentral:rRNA from 1 species
GCGCGAAAACUUUACAAUGCUGGCAACAGCGAUAAGGGAACCUCGAGUGCCAGGUUACAAAUCUGGCUGUCGAGAUGCCUAAAAAGCAUUUCAUAGCAAGGGCCGGGCAAGACCGGUGCCAGCCGCCGCGGUAACACCGGCGGCUCGAGUGGUAACCGUUAUUAUUGGGUCUAAAGGGUCUGUAGCCGGCCGGAUAAGUCUCUUGAGAAAUCUGGCAGCUUAACUGUCAGGCUUUCAGGAGAUACUGUCUGGCUAGAGGCCGGGAGAGGUGAGAGGUACUUCAGGGGUAGGGGUGAAAUCUUGUAAUCCUUGAAGGACCACCAGUGGCGAAGGCGUCUCACCAGAACGGACCUGACGGUAAGGGACGAAAGCUAGGGGCACGAACC